rnacentral:rRNA from 1 species
CCGCCCGUCACAUCAUGAAAGCCGGUUGUACCCGAAGUCCAUGUUGCUAACCGCAAGGAAGCAGUGGCCGAAGGUAUGGCUGGUGAUUGGGAUGAAGUCGUAACAACGGUACC